rnacentral:rRNA from 1 species
UUGUCUCAAAGAUUAAGCCAUGCAUGUCUCAGUACAAGCCGAAUUAAGGUGAAACCGCGAAAGGCUCAUUAAAUCAGUUAUGGUUCCUUAGAUCGUACCCACAUUUACUUGGAUAACUGUGGUAAUUCUAGAGCUAAUACAUGCAAACAGAGCUCCAACCGGAAACGGAAGGAGCGCUUUUAUUAGAUCAAAACCAAUCGGUGGCGGUUUCUCCGUCAUCGUACAACUUGGUGACUCUGAAUAACUUUAAGCUGAUCGCACGGUCUCGCACCGGCGACGCAUCUUUCAAAUGUCUGCCUUAUCAACUGUCGAUGGUAGGUUCUGCGCCUACCAUGGUUGUAACGGGUAACGGGGAAUCAGGGUUCGAUUCCGGAGAGGGAGCCUGAGAAACGGCUACCACAUCCAAGGAAGGCAGCAGGCGCGCAAAUUACCCACUCCCGGCACGGGGAGGUAGUGACGAAAAAUAACUAUACGGGACUCAUCCGAGGCCCCGUAAUCGGAAUGAGUACACUCUAAACCCUUUAACGAGGAUCAAUUGGAGGGCAAGUCUGGUGCCAGCAGCCGCGGUAAUUCCAGCUCCAAUAGCGUAUAUUAAAGUUGUUGCGGUUAAAAAGCUCGUAGUCGAAUCUGUGUCCCGCGCCGCCGGUUCAUCGUUCGCGGUGUUAACUGGCGUGCCGCGGGACGUCCUGCCGGUGGGCUUAGCUCGAGAGGGCGGCCCAACUCAAUCCCGCCGCGGUGCUCUUCAUUGAGUGUCGAGGUGGGCCGGCACGUUUACUUUGAACAAAUUAGAGUGCUUAAAGCAGGCUAAAACUUCGCCUGAAUACUGUGUGCAUGGAAUAAUGGAAUAGGACCUCGGUUCUAUUUUGUUGGUUUUCGGAACCCCGAGGUAAUGAUUAAUAGGAACGGAUGGGGGCAUUCGUAUUGCGACGUUAGAGGUGAAAUUCUUGGAUCGUCGCAAGACGGACAGAAGCGAAAGCAUUUGCCAAAAACGCUUUCAUUGAUCAAGAACGAAAGUUAGAGGUUCGAAGGCGAUCAGAUACCGCCCUAGUUCUAACCAUAAACGAUGCCAGCUAGCGAUCCGCCGACGUUCUUUCGAUGACUCGGCGGGCAGCUUCCGGGAAACCAAAGCUUUUGGGUUCCGGGGGAAGUAUGGUUGCAAAGCUGAAACUUAAAGGAAUUGACGGAAGGGCACCACCAGGAGUGGAGCCUGCGGCUUAAUU